UGUUUAUGGUAGUAUACCUCUCAAGAAUCAGUAUGCUGUGAGAAAUAAAUUUAAAUAUUUUCGUCUUAAAUUUUUUACAAAAAAUUGGCCAAUUUAAAUUUAGUACGUAAUCUGAAGGUUUAUCCAUUUCGAGGUUCAAAUUUAGCAGCAGUACUUUGCAAGUCUCAGUUCUUCUAAGUCAAUAAACUUUUAUUCUUGAGUUCUUUCAGCUUGUAAUUGAAACAGUAGGAAUUAAAACUAUUUUAAUGCAGCUCAAAUAUUAUUUAACAACAUUCCGGCUAAGUAUAUCCCAAAUUUGUGGUAUCGUCGAGUCAAUCUAUAUGUUGAACCAAUGGAAUAAAAUAAUAACUUCUGUUUAUAAAUAUUUUUAAUAUUAUUGAUUUAUUGUAAAAAAUACGCUAGAACCAAACUUAAAUAAUGAAAAAUAUUACUUAAUUUUGAAUUCCUGCCGAUACACGUAUAACAAUAAUCAUUUCGAAACGAUGCUCAAAAUAGUUAAGGUCAAACAAAAGCAGUGUAAAUACAUUGCAUGUGUAUGGAAAAGGAUGCGCGUUUCAAGUGGCUGCAAAUGGAGAAUGCGAUUGACGCUGCUUACGGCAACGCCCAGCACAGGAGAAGGAAUCAUUUACACUCAAGUGUGGCACAGGAUAUUAGAAAUUUACAUCAACAAUGUAAACACUUAUGGUUGACGGUGCUGAUGUGGAUUUUAAGCACUUUUUAGCGUUUUUCUCCUUGUCGCUUUGAGGAACAUGAGUUUGUCAUGAUGAAGAGCAACGCGUAAGGGUGUCAGUUGCAGUAGAAAAACCAUUUAAAAUAACACCAACCAAAGAACAAGAGGCAAUAGACGACGGUGACAGUCACAAGUACAUUUAUAAUUCCGACCUGUUUAAUUAUGCCGAAUAUGACGCGUGUUGGGCUUGUCGCAAGUCCCAAUCAACACUACUAUUGCUGCUUUCGAACUUCGAAUUUGUUUCCCAUCCGCUUCCCGUAGAGUUUGAUGCAUUUCGUAUCAUUUUUUUGCUGCCGCUCUUACAAUCUUAUACUAAUUGACCAACACAUUUAGCAAGGGAACAUUGGAAAAUGUGGAAUGAAAGCAGGACGCGCAGGAAAGUAGAAAAGUUGUUGGAUCUAUAAAGCUGAAGGAUAAUAUAUAAAUAGCGAAAUCAUUAUAAGAUUUCUCAAAUCACAAAACAACGUUAUUAACAGUUAGGAAAUGAGAAAAGAAAUUUGUUGAAAAUAGGGUAUCUGCAGAAAUAAUGAAUACUCCGGAUGGGAAACUGAAGAAACGUAUUUGAAAAUUAUGAAACGAUCUUGAGAAGAAAACUUUGAUAGUAAUGGCAAUCAUGGUGUAGAAGUUAUUCUAUUAAAAAUUGAACUCUUGAGAUUUUUAAAUACUAUGUAUAAAUAAUGCUGUGCCUCAUACCAAAUUACUGAUAUGAAGAUCGUAAAUAUAUAAGAAUCAAUCAAUUACUUUACUUAUAUGUGAAAUGUGAAUGAACAAGAGUAAAAUAAACCUCAGCCAAGUACAAUAUUUUAAACAGAGAUCGUCAAAAGCCAUUCAGAUGACGAACCUAAAUUGAUUGGUCUCACUUUAUUCGAUACAGAUUUCUCAUACAUUUGUGGCACUAUAUUUAUAAUUGAAUUAGUUAUUCGUGGCAUGAUACCUAGUACAUAAGGACAGUAUCCGAUAAGAAUGGGUGAUAUGCUUGACCAUGGUACGGUAUAUUUAGUACGGUACGAAGUUCAGUAAAGAUUGAAAGUUUCUCGGCUGUUUCUAUUAUCGGGGGUCGAAAGUAUCGUCUACCAAUUAUAUAUAUUGAUAAGCAAAGAAGCUCAUUCUUGCUAACGAGUUAAUUCGAUUCGCGUCGUCCUGCGACUAAAAAUAUAUAUGGUUUUCAAUACAAUCUGGCUUAAUAAAAUGGCGGUUCUUAAUAAGAAAACUCUGUCAUUUGUUUAUUUCCUGAAAGGUUGAAAAUGAAAUAUCUUCAUUGCAGUAUCAUUUCGAAGAUCUGAUAAAAUAGCAUAAACCCAGCAUGCAAAUGAGUUGUCUUUGGUCUUCCUCAAUGAUUUUAUUAUUAUGGAUAUAACGAAAAUGUUUG